rnacentral:rRNA from 1 species
CCCUUAGAUGUCCUGGGCCGCACGCGCGCUACACUGAGUGUCUGAGAUACGAGUCUGCCUGGUCCGGCAAGGUCUAGGUAAUCGCUAAAAGACACAUCAUGCUUGGGAUAGAUUAUUGCAAAUAUUAAUCUUGAACGAGGAAUUCCUAGUAAGCGCAAGUCAACAGCUUGCGUUGAUUACGUCCCUGCCCUUUGUACACACCGCCCGUCGCUACUACUGAUUGGAUGUUUAAGCGAGGUUCUCGAACUGCUAGCGACUUAGCUUCGGUGAGGUCGCAGUGUGGGAAGUGAACCGAGCUUUGGGGUCUAGAGGAAGUAAAAGUCGUAACA